UCAGACGUAUGCUCUUCCGAUUCGAAAAAUAGGGGACAGAAAUCAGGUAUUGGCAGUUUUUCCAUUUUCAUUUGUACGUGAAUUUUUAAUAUAAAUGCGGGGACAUAAAGCAUUAAUGCGAGUCAAAAUGUUUCAGUGAACAGGUUUCAGCAGUUCAACUUUAUAUCAGUUAUAAAUAAGCCUGUUACAUUUUUCUGGAAAAAAAAUAGUAAUAAAUCCUAAAAAAAAAACCAAAAAAC